AUCCUUCUGUUCAUAAGUGUGAUGAUUUGGUGUUCAUGCCUUAUGCAUGAGAUGUGCCUCCCUCAAACCUUGUUACAAUGUGGGCACAUUACCCAUCACACA